UACGGGAGGCAGCAGGUGGGGAAUAUUGCACAAUGGGCGAAAGCCUGAUGCAGCUAUGCCGCGUGUAUGAAGAAGGCCUUAGGGUUGUAAAGUACUUUCAUCGGGGAGGAAAAACAAAACUAAUAAUUUUAUUUCUUGACGUUACCCGAAAAAGAAGCACCGGCUAACUCCGUGCCAGCAGCCGCGGUAAUACGGAGGGUGCUAGCGUUAAUCAGAAUUACUGGGCGUAAAGAGCACGUAGGUGGUUUUUUAAGUCAGAUGUGAAAUCCCUGGGCUUAACCUAGGAACUGCAUUUUGAAACUGAAAUACUAGAGUAUCGUAGAGGGAGGUAGAAUUCUAGGUGUAGCGGUGAAAUGCGUAGAUAUCUGGAGGAAUACCUGUGGCGAAAGCGGCCUCCUAAACGAAUACUGACACUGAGGUGCGAAAGCGUGGGGAGCAAACAGGGAUUAGAUACC
rnacentral:rRNA from 1 species